AUUUGUUGUAUGAGAAAGUAUUUUAAUUAUUAAAACAGUCCACAUAGAAAUUCUAACAAACUGACAGUUAAAAAAGGUUCCUUUUAUACAAAUAAACCGAAGAUAUUUCCUCGUCCUUCACAAGGUAACAACACUAAGUAUGAUACAAGCCAAAUUGUGUGUUUAAUUCAUGAAUACGCAAGUCAAUAUGACGCAAUUCUUUAGCGAAUUCUCCCCAGAAAAUGUUAGAAAACAUAGUCAUCGAUCGAGCUUCAAAACUACAAACAUUUUCUGGGGGAAUACCCUAGAGAUGUCAUAAUUAAAACUGUAGUGAUUGCAAGUAAUUUUAACAUUGAAGUCCAAAUCAGAACCAGGAAAGUCCUGGUCAAAUUAACUUGGCAAUAGGGUGAAAAUAAUCAUAGCAAAAUUACCCAGGAAUAUGAAGUGAACCCAAAUAGGCUUAUUUGCACAGGUUUACCCGGACGUUUAACUAGUAAUUUUAACCAUUGUAAAUCAAUGAGGUUUUGUAACAACCAAAGUUAAUAGUAAUUUAACCACGUGUAUGUUGGAAUGUUGGUGUGAGCUGUCAGCGGCGUCAAACGGAUCAAGCUAGUCUGAUGUUUAAUCAAGUGUUCCGGGUGUGAUCAAGUCAUUGAAGAGAUUCAGAUUUCAC
rnacentral:lncRNA from 1 species